UACAGAGGGUGCGAGCGUUGUCCGGAAUCACUGGGCGUAAAGGGCGCGUAGGUGGCGUCGCAAGUCGAUGGUGAAAGCUCGGCGCUCAACGCCGAGUCGGCCCUUGAUACUGCGAGGCUGGAGCACUGUAGAGGCUAAUGGAAUUCCCGGUGUAGCGGUGAAAUGCGCAGAUAUCGGGAAGAACACCAGUGGCGAAGGCGGCUCACUGGUCCGGUACUGACGCGUGAGGUGCG
rnacentral:rRNA from 1 species